CCUACGGGAGGCAGCAGUAGGGAAUAUUGCUCAAUGGGGGAAACCCUGAAGCAGCAACGCCGCGUGGAGGAUGAAGGUUUUCGGAUUGUAAACUCCUUUUGUCAGAGAAGAUAAUGACGGUAUCUAACGAAUAAGCACCGGCUAACUCCGUGCCAGCAGCCGCGGUAAUACGUAGGGUGCAAGCGUUACUCGGAAUCACUGGGGGUAAAGAGCGCGUAGACGGGGAAGCAAGUCCGAUGUGAAAUCCUAUGGCUUAACCAUCGAACUGCAUUUGAAACUGUUUUUCUAGAGUAUGGGAGAGGUAAGUGGAAUUCUUGGUGUAGGGGUGAAAUCCGUAGAGAUCAAGAGGAAUACUCGUUGCGAAGGCGACCUGCUGGAACGUAACUGACGCUGAUGCGCGAAAGCGUGGGGAGCAAACAGGAUUAGAUACCCUGGUAGUC
rnacentral:rRNA from 1 species